AAAGCAUGGACUGACACGGUGGUUGAAGUAUUAGGUGUUGAAUUUUCUUAGUGGCGAACGGGUGAGUAACGCGUGGGCAACCUGCCCUCUAGAUGGGGACAACAUCCCGAAAGGGGUGCUAAUACCGAAUGUGACAGCAAUCUCGCAUGAGGAUGCUGUGAAAGAUGGCCUCUAUUUAUAAGCUAUCGCUAGAGGAUGGGCCUGCGUCUGAUUAGCUAGUUGGUGGGGUAACGGCCUACCAAGGCGAUGAUCAGUAGCCGGUCUGAGAGGAUGAACGGCCACAUUGGGACUGAGACACGGCCCAGACUCCUACGGGAGGCAGCAGUGGGGAAUCUUCCGCAAUGGGCGAAAGCCUGACGGAGCAAUGCCGCGUGAGUGAUGAAGGAAUUCGUUCCGUAAAGCUCUUUUGUUUAUGACGAAUGUGCAGAUUGUGAAUAAUGAUUUGUAAUGACGGUAGUAAACGAAUAAGCCACGGCUAACUACGUGCCAGCAGCCGCGGUAAUACGUAGGUGGCGAGCGUUGUCCGGAAUUAUUGGGCGUAAAGAGCAUGUAGGCGGUUUUUUAAGUCUGGAGUGAAAAUGCGGGGCUCAACCCCGUAUGGCUCUGGAUACUGGAAGACUUGAGUGCAGGAGAGGAAAGGGGAAUUCCCAGUGUAGCGGUGAAAUGCGUAGAUAUUGGGAGGAACACCAGUGGCGAAGGCGCCUUUCUGGACUGUGUCUGACGCUGAGAUGCGAAAGCCAGGGUAGCGAACGGGAUUAGAUACCCCGGUAGUCCUGGCCGUAAACGAUGGGUACUAGGUGUAGGAGGUAUCGACCCCUUCUGUGCCGGAGUUAACGCAAUAAGUACCCCGCCUGGGGAGUACGUCCGCAAGGAUGAAACUCAAAGGAAUUGACGGGGGCCCGCACAAGCGGUGGAGUAUGUGGUUUAAUUCGACGCAACGCGAAGAACCUUACCAAGGCUUGACAUUGAUUGACCGCUCCAGAGAUGGAGCUUUCCCUUCGGGGACAUGAAAACAGGUGGUGCAUGGCUGUCGUCAGCUCGUGUCGUGAGAU
rnacentral:rRNA from 1 species